UAAGACGAACCGUACGAACGUUAUUCGGAAUUACUGGGCUUAAAGGGUGCGUAGGCUGUGCAGAAAGUUGGGUGUGAAAUCCCCCGGCUUAACCGGGGAAUUGCGCCCAAAACUACUGUGCUAGAGGAAUACAGAGGUAAGCGGAACUUCGGGUGGAGCGGUGAAAUGCGUUGAUAUCCGAAGGAACACCGGUGGCGAAAGCGGCUUACUGGGUAUUUUCUGACGCUGAGGCACGAAAGCUAGGGUAGCGAACGGGAUUAGAUACCCCGGUAGUCCUAGCCGUAAACGAUGAGCACUGGGUUGGAGGGUCCUCCAUAGCCUUCCAGCCGCAGCGAAAGUGUUAAGUGCUCCGCCUGGGGAGUAUGGUCGCAAGGCUG
rnacentral:rRNA from 1 species